GUCUGAGCUGAGCAGGCCAGGAGGCAACAUCAGGCUGAGUUGCUCCUUGAACAUCUUGGAGGGAGCGGGCUUUGUUCAGCAAUGCAAAUAAAGUGACUUCAGUUUGGAUGCUGUAUCGCCAGAGGUGACCUGAACAGAGUGAGGGGCCUGGGGCAAAUCAGUCUAUGCAGGGCCCUGCCCCAGCUGAUCUCAUGGGCCCUGGACCCGAAGAAGGUGCCACUGCCAUUGGCUGUGGCAGGGAGGGGAGGAUGGUGUUGAAUGGCUGGAUGCGGAGCCGCCGCUUCACCCAGCUCCAUGCCACCACCGCUCUGGCCGGCUCUGUGCCACUGCUGCUCCGCCUGGCUCCACGACAGCCCUGUGUAGUGCUAUUGAAAAAAAAAAAAAAAAUUGAAAUUGGUUUCAAAUGAUGGUGCAAUGUAGCCACGAUCAUAUACAGAAACUUUACUUUCAGUCUCUAUUUCUGCUUGGUAUUUAGCUCUCUAAUUUUAAUCAGAUUGUUCUUGGGUCCUACUGUUUACUGCGUGCUCCCCCCACCCCCCAAUAUGAUACGAGAUGCCAUCUUUCCUUCAUGCUGGUUUUGUUCCAGACCAGGGGUGCUCAAACUAUGCUUCUCCCUUCAGGGAUGGAUCAGGCCUGGGUCAUGUCCCCCCACUCGCAUGGGGUCACAUUGGGGCAGGGCCACACCCCCUUCCCUUGCACAGCUGGGUCAUGGUCCUGCCAUACCUGCUCCAGGCACUGGCCUGGGUCCAUUGGCAGGAUCCAGCCCAUGGAGGGAACAGGCAAUGCUCAUCUGCUUCAUGAAAAGAUUGAGCCACCGUUGUUCCAGAUUGUUGGCUUCUAGGUAUUUAAAUGCUUCUUCUCUUUAGGUGGCUUAUGGUUCUCAAUCCUUGAGGUGUUACUUCUUAUUUACUGUUUUCUUUUUUCUGUGCUUGGCUGGUUGUUCAUUUGAGAUGUCAUGGAGUCCACUGACAGCAUCAAGUAUCUCCUUGUGUCCUUGUGCCUCCUCCUCUUCCUUCUGCUGCUUCUUUUCACUAUGUUUGGCUUUCUCAUUCUUGCUCAUCAGCCAUUUUAGGUUAUUGUUUGGCAUGCAAGUGAUUUCCUAUUGACUUUAUUACCUUCCUACUGAUCUGUUUCAUUUCUACUGCAUUUUUGGUUGUGAACUCUAGCUUUGGUUAAGAUAACCACAUAUCAUCUGAGCCGUUCUCAAAUUAUUGUAUUUUGUGCGGCUACUGUGGCAUGAAGUAAUUUCUGAGAGCAUCUAAAAGUAUCCAGUACGUUCCUCUGUGCAAAUAUUUUGCAUGCUUCUAAGUUUGUUUGUUUUUUCUAUAACUAAACAUUCUUCGUGUCCAACAACACAAAGAAAAGAAAACCAUGUUGGCUAAUCAUGUCUAAAUUUUGGAACUGGCUUUUAUCGCCUCAGAAUUGGGUCUUAAUGUCUUAGCAAUUGUUCAGUAGACUCUUGCAGCAUUUUUUUUUUUUAUUGACUCUACAGUCAUUUUAUACUUUUUUCCAGAUUUUUAGGCAUGGUUCUUUCCUCUUAUUACUGUUGAAUCUUCCUUUUCUUUUCCUAUUUUGAUUGUUAUACAUGUGUUCCGAAACAUAAAAUGUGCUUAUUUUUGGUCUUUUGAGUUGAUUUAUGCUAUUUUUAGGGAUAUUUGAAUUUCUAGUUUUAUCAACAAUAGAGGACAGGGCUUAACUCUCCAGACACUUAGGGAUAUAUUUUUAAUUACCUGACAUGAAAUUACACACGUUUUUCAAAAUGCUGUGCAAACAUGUGAUAACUGUGAUAUAUUGUGCUUGUCAUUGUCAUCAGGGGAGCCCUUAACUCCCAUGUGCUCCUAAAGCUGGGAAUACCAGUCAACUGACUGGCCAGUGCAUGGGGAGCCAGGGAUCAUGAUCCCCAAUCCAAUAAUCAUGUUUUUUGCCAUACACAUGUGGCAGGACAAGAGGCAGGAUUAUUGGGAUCAUGGAUCCUACAGCACCUUUAACUGAACAUGUGUCGGGGAUCUUACGGAUGUUGAGAAGAAGAUUUAAAAAAAACAAACCACUGAAGUUUGCCUUAGUACUAUUCACACUUAGAGCCAUGGGAAUUUACUGAAAUGUUCAUGUGUGUAUAUAUACCUCUAGACCCAGUGAGUGCUUUUGGAAAUUAGGCUUUACAGAUUACUGCUUACAAAGAGUCCAAUAUCAACAGUAAGCCACGCUGCUUGGAUUGGAAUGCAAUAUAAAGCACAUAUCUGAAGAUAAAACAUUGAAACACUGCUUGAAAAUUCAUAUAACUAUUCAAAAUAUUGCAUCCAUUUUUCUCAAUAUUUCAAAGUUGCCUAGCCACCUAACAGACAGAAGCAUGAAACCAUUUGGUGAUUUUUUUUUUU